rnacentral:misc_RNA from 1 species
AGAAUAGAACAGAAUAAGAACAGAACAGAAUAGAAUAGAACAUAAUAAGAACAGAAAAAAACAGAACAGAACAAAACUAAACAGAGUAGAGAACAAAAUAGAAUAGAACAGAACAGAAUAGGAUAAAACAGAAUAAAAACAGAACAGAAUAGAACAGAACAGAAUAGAACAGAAUAGAACAGAAUAGAACAGAACAGAAUAGAACAGAACAGAAUAGUACAGAACA